GAAAUCCGGAUUAAUACCGCAUACGCCCUACGGGGGAAAGGUGGCCUCUUCUUGAAAGCUACCGUUAUCGGAUGAGCCUGCGUCGGAUUAGCUAGUUGGUGGGGUAAAGGCCUACCAAGGCGACGAUCCGUAGCUGGUCUGAGAGGAUGAUCAGCCACACUGGGACUGAGACACGGCCCAGACUCCUACGGGAGGCAGCAGUGGGGAAUAUUGGACAAUGGGCGCAAGCCUGAUCCAGCCAUGCCGCGUGUGUGAAGAAGGCUUUCGGGUUGUAAAGCACUUUCAGCGGGGAGGAAAGGUUUAAGGUUAAUACCCUUGAGCUGUGUCGUUACCCGCAGAAGAAGCACCGGCUAACUCCGUGCCAGCAGCCGCGGUAAUACGGAGGGUGCGAGCGUUAAUCGGAAUUACUGGGCGUAAAGCGUGCGUAGGCGGUGAUUUAAGUGGGAUGUGAAAGCCCCGGGCUCAACCUGGGAACUGCACCCCAAACUGGGUCACUAGAGUACAGCAGAGGAGUGUGGAAUUUCCUGUGUAGCGGUGGAAUGCGUAGAUAUAGGAAGGAACACCAGUGGCGAAGGCGACACUCUGGGCUGAUACUGAC
rnacentral:rRNA from 1 species